rnacentral:lncRNA from 1 species
AUGGCCGGGUUUGAGCUGGAUCCGAAGGCAGGGCUGAGGAAGGAGCUGGGCAGGCGAUGCUGGGUCGUGGAGCCUGCAGGGAUCUGUGCUGCUGCCGUGCUCUGCUCCCAGCCCCUGAGCUGCACGGACGUGCCUGCUGCUGGGGAGCACACCCAGCAGCGGUGUGAGACACCUCGUGAGCGUGAGCUUCAGGGCUGGCCUUUGCAAAAGUCACCCAAACUAACGAGUGUUUUAUCUGUUUUGCCAGGGCUGGACACCGAAGAAGCAAAAUUCAUUUCUGCUAUGGGCCGGUUGCCCUUCAGCAAAGAGCCAGGAGUUUGUUUUAUCUGCCCUGGGACCCCGGAGCAGGGCGAAGGCUUUCAGCUGCCGUGCAGCCGCUCGUCCCGUGCCAUGGAGAGACCCCCAAAUUACCAAGAGAGCUUUCUGCAGCCCCUGUGCGGGAUGAGGGAGAGGAGCUGCUUUGGAGGCCCUCAUGCAACAUCACAAAGCUGCAGCACAAAAUUGCCAGGAGCCCUGGGCUGCUGGGCCUCUUCACAGCCACAUUUCUCAGGGGACGCUAAAGGAAGUUUGGUCCUUCUCAUCCCGGUGACGUCCCUGCGAGGCUUCACGGGGCGCUGCAGCCGGCGGCUUCCUCCACCUCGCGUGGCCUUGGUGCUCGGGUCAGCAUCCUCAAACAGCUGGGGAAGCAGCUGGGCGAUCUCACGGGGAUUUGUGCACGCUCAGGGGCAAGUCGUGGGAAAACGUGCUCUGGGAUGGUCUCGCACACCCACGUGGGCUUCUCCGGGGUCUCCUGGGGCACACGCUGCCUGUUCUCAGUGUUUUCCCAUGCUGCUCGUGUUGGGCUGUCACAGCUGCUUCAGGAGGAACUCGGGGCUGGGCCUGCACCCGUGUUGCAGCUGGCGAGCUGAGGGAUGUGUGGGGCAGCCCUUGCACCACCGCCUGUGUCACGUUGUCCAGAAGAGCCCAGGACCACUUGGAGAGCACCAACGGACCUGGGAGAAGCUGAAACAAACUGGUCCUGAGGCCUGUUACUGGGACGUUCACUGA